AUGAAUUUUGGACCUUGGCAAUGCAAGAGGAGCUUAACCAAUUCGAACGCAAUGACAUUUGGGAUUUGGUGCCAAGACCCGAAAAUCAUACCAUAAUUGGUACGAAAUGUACCAGGUACAUCUCGAGAGGGUGGAUUUGGACCUUUAUCAACCAUUGAAACCUCACCAACAUUGUUUAACAUAGCAGAUCGAGUACCUACAUUCUGAUAAACUCGGCAUAGCUGGAAAUAGUGAUCAGGAUCAGAAGUUGAUGGAUGUCUAAUUAAGCGAACGAUUAAGCUUCAUUAAUUUAUUGCAAAAGUAAUGAAGUGUGCUCUUUUUGCACAGCUGCUUUAAAUUAAUCUGGUGAAUAUUUACCUUUUAAUCUUUAUGAUGACGCUUAUCACUAAUCAAAGCUAUCUCUUGUUUCAUCUAUAAUCCACUUAAUUUUUAUGUUGAAUUUGAAUCA